AAAUGAAGGCAGGUCAUUAGUGCUGCUGGCAAGUUCCCCUCCCCCAACUCCUUGUCCCUUGUUAAAUUCUUCCACCAUCACUCCCGUGCCCCAGCCUCACAGAGUCUGUUCUGCAAGAUCCAGCCCAAGUCAGGGUGAAGGGAGUGGGGGAGAGGAGCAGGUCUUCAGGCUGAUAACUCAGAAACAAACAGCCCGCAGGGUCUUCUUUUCUCCCUCAGCCACCCCUUAGUUGAUGCAUAACCUGACUUUGCUAUUUACAUUUGUGACAGUGGAGAAUCUGGACACUAUCACUAGCUGUGUCACUUCCCUGAGCUUCUGUUUGACCACCUGUAAAAUGGAGUAAUAAUAUCCACCCACCCCAAAGAUUGUUGGCAGGGGUGGGGUGGGGAUUAAGUGUAAAAUGUUUCAUGUAGAGCAGAUGGUAGAUAAAUUGGUUCCCACUUUAAGUCUCUUUAAGGGAGCUCCGUCCUCUUAAUACCUAAAUGUGUUACACUGUGUUUCCUCAGAGGCAGACCCAGACACAAGAACCUGGGUAUGGUAGUUUACUUGUUAAGUGAGCCCAGGAAGCACUGCUGAGGGAAUGCAGAGCUUUGGCAAAGAUAGCACAGCAACCUCUGUAGGGUGGUGAUUGGAGUUUAACCCCUUGAGGCACGCUGGGAGGCAGCCCAGAGCACCCUGCUCAGAGUUAUGCUCCUAAGCAUGCUAGGUCUUUAUACACCAACUCCCUUUGGCCAUUGGUUGAGGGCUUCUUUGGGGGAAGUGGAGGGUGUCAGUUCCACCUACCACUGAAUGGAAAAUGGCUCUGGCUCCACAGGCAGCAGGAUUAGCCACACUGAUUACUCAUCUGUGACCCUGCCCUCUUCACAUGUGAUCUGUGUUUGUUCCUCCAAGGAGACUAUGUUUUUCAAGGGCAAGGAACCUUGUGUUACAAGCUAUCUAGCAGAGGAGGAAAAUCAACAAACUUGACAGAAUUGGAGACCAGAAAAAUGCUGAAAUGUGUGGCCAAGACUGAGAGUAAACAGGGAGACAGCAGAGGACAGGGUGGGGCCACGCUUUCCACAGCUGCUUCUACCUCCUGGAUGUGAGUUUGCUGUGGGGGAGAUAAGAAAAACUGGAUCAGGGCUCCUGACCUUGAGGAGAUUGCAGACUAUGAGCACCUUCAGGACAUGGACCUUCACGUUCUCCUCUGUGAACUUAGUCUUGUGCUCAGCACUGAGAGGUGCUCAAUCAAUGCUUGUUGAAAGAAAGAAUGAAUAAAUGAAUGAUCUAACCUCCCCCUUCCUUGUUAUCACUGAGCUGUAAACAGCCAAUUAUUUACUCACAUGCCAAUUAACUUAUCUAAAUACAAACAAGCCUAUGUCACAAGUGAUAACGCAACAUCUCCCAGUUUCUCUAACAAGCUCGAAUCCCUCUGGCCACUGGAUAUGAUGUUCUACUUGCAUGGAACAUUCUUCCUGGACCUCCAACCUCCCUCAACCUCUCUUCAUCUGGCCAGCUCCUUCUCCCUCUCUAGGUCUCAGCUAGGACAGCCCUGCCUCCGGGGAGCCAUCCCCAACCUCCCCAGAGUGGCUCAGA